GGCGCUAACAUCUCCGGCGGUCACGUCAAUCCCGCCGUCACUUUCGGCGCUUUCGUCGGCGGGAACAUCAGUCUUUUACGCGGCAUCGUCUAUUGGAUCGCUCAACUACUUGGCUCAACCGUCGCUUGCCUCUUGCUCAAGUUCGCUACUAGUGACAUGGUAAACACACACCACUGGUCAAACAAAACAUAUAUAAACUUUUUUACAUUUAAUUUUAGGAUUAAUUUUAGAACCUUGAGUUAAAUUUUAAAUUAAUCUCAAGAUUUUAAAACGUUUCAAUUAAGUCCUUAAAUUAACACUUACUAAUAAUUUAGUGAUCAAAUUUUAAUAAUCUAACUAUCUGUUUAAAUGUAAUUUUAACUCAUACAUAGCAUACAACAUAUUUAAAACAUGUAAUUUAUUUAGUAAGUACAUAAAGUUGAUGUUAAGAUGCACGAAUCAGGGCUUUAUCUCCAGUGGCGUAUCUAGGGCCUGGUAAGGCCCGGCCUCCCCUAAAAAAAAAUUUAUUUAUUUAAUUUUUUUUAAAUUUUAAAAUUUCAAAUUAGUAAAAGUAAAAUUAUACUUUUUCCCUUUAAAAUGAUAAAUUUUUUAUUUAAUCUUUUAAAAAUUAUAAAAAUUUAGGAGAUUAAAAGUUAUAAUUUAAUUUUGGCCCCUAAAAAAUUUUUAAUUUCACUCCUAUUUAUCUCCUUACUUAUAAGUUAACAUUAAAAAAAUAAUUAGAAUAUUUUAAAUUUUAAGUAUUAAUUUAAAUGGUUAAUUUUUAAAAAUGCCCUGUAAUUAAUUACCAUAUUAAAAAAUUAAAAAUUAUUACCAAUAUAUCAAAAAAAUAAAAUUAUUUACUUUUUAAUAAAAAUAUUAAUUUACGGACCCGUAAGCUAGUUUAUUCCUUCAACGUUUCCGCCCUAAAUACCAAUUUUGAAAAUCAGUUAUUUCCGUUAUUUUUAAUAGCGCUAAUAUAAGGUUUUGUUACGGUACUUCACAGACCGUACCGGCUUUCGGACUUUCAUCGGGAGUAGGUGUGUGGAACGCCGUCGUUUUUGAGAUCGUGAUGACUUUCGGAUUGGUCUACACGGUUUACGCCACGGCCAUCGAUCCUAAAAAGGGAGACCUAGGAG
rnacentral:lncRNA from 1 species